rnacentral:rRNA from 1 species
UACGUAGGGUGCGAGCGUUGUCCGGAAUUAUUGGGCGUAAAGAGCUCGUAGGCGGUUUGUUGCGUCUAUCGUGAAAACCUGCAGCUUAACUGUGGGCUUGCGGUGGAUACGGGCAGACUUGAGUUCGGUAGGGGAGACUGGAAUUCCUGGUGUAGCGGUGAAAUGCGCAGAUAUCAGGAGGAACACCGGUGGCGAAGGCGGGUCUCUGGGCCGAUACUGACGCUGAGGCGCGAAAGCUAGGGGAGCGAACGGG